rnacentral:rRNA from 1 species
AUUGAACGCUGGCGGCAGGCCUAACACAUGCAAGUCGAACGGUAACAGGAAGAAGCUUGCUUCUUUGCUGACGAGUGGCGGACGGGUGAGUAAUGUCUGGGAAACUGCCUGAUGGAGGGGGAUAACUACUGGAAACGGUAGCUAAUACCGCAUAACGUCGCAAGACCAAAGAGGGGGACCUUCUGGCCUCUUGCCAUCGGAUGUGCCCAGAUGGGAUUAGCUAGUAGGUGGGGUAACGGCUCACCUAGGCGACGAUCCCUAGCUGGUCUGAGAGGAUGACCAGCCACACUGGAACUGAGACACGGUCCAGACUCCUACGGGAGGCAGCAGUGGGGAAUAUUGCACAAUGGGCGCAAGCCUGAUGCAGCCAUGCCGCGUGUAUGAAGAAGGCCUUCGGGUUGUAAAGUACUUUCAGCGGGGAGGAAGGGAGUAAAGUUAAUACCUUGACUCAUUGACGUUACCCGAAGAAGAAGCACCGGCUAACUCCGUG